rnacentral:rRNA from 1 species
GACGAACGCUGGCGGCGCGCCUAACACGUGCAAGUCGAACGGAGUCAAGAGGAGCUUGCUUUUCUUGACUUAGUGGCGAACGGGUGAGUAACGCGUGAGUAACCUGCCCUGGAGUGGGGGACAACAGUUGGAAACGACUGCUAAUACCGCAUAAGCCCACGGAUCCGCAUGGAUCUGCGGGAAAAGGAUUUAUUCGCUUCAGGAUGGACUCGCGUCCAAUUAGCUAGUUGGUGAGGUAACGGCCCACCAAGGCGACGAUUGGUAGCCGGACUGAGAGGUUGAACGGCCACAUUGGGACUGAGACACGGCCCAGACUCCUACGGGAGGCAGCAGUGGGGGAUAUUGCACAAUGGGGGAAACCCUGAUGCAGCGACGCCGCGUGGAGGAAGAAGGUUCUCGGAUUGUAAACUCCUGUCGUUAGGGACGAUAAUGACGGUACCUAACAAGAAAGCACCGGCUAACUACGUG